rnacentral:lncRNA from 1 species
AUGAAGUUAAUCUUCAAGCUCUCCAUGACACAAACCUUUUUGUAUCAUAUCACCCUAAUUAGGAAUUUGGGACACUUCCUAACAAUCUCCACCUUGGACCAAAUUUCAUGAAGUUAAUCUUCAAGCUCUCCAUGACACAAACCUUUUUGUAUCAUAUCACCACGAAAGAGCAAUCGACUCCACCUUCAGUGAAAAUUCAUUUUGUUUUCAUCUUGUG